rnacentral:rRNA from 1 species
UACGUAGGGACCAAGCGUUGUUCGGAUUUACUGGGCGUAAAGGGCGCGUAGGCGGCGUGACAAGUCACUUGUGAAAUCUCCGGGCUUAACUCGGAACGGUCAAGUGAUACUGUCGUGCUAGAGUGCAGAAGGGGCAAUCGGAAUUCUUGGUGUAGCGGUGAAAUGCGUAGAUAUCGAGAGGAACACCUGCGGCGAAGGCGGGUUGCUGGGCCGACACUGACGCUGAUGCGGCGAAAGCCAGGGGAGCGAACGGG